GUGAAAUUCUAAAACAACCCCUGUAGAAGGAGAUAUGAGGCAAAAAAUCUAACGUGGGGUCGUGUGAGGUGGGGAGGCCUCAUGGGAACUAGAACUUAAAAGUAUUAGGGGCAGCUCCUGUCCCUUGCAGCCAGUUCUCUAUCCCUGGCUGGGGCUUGUCUUAUGGAAAAGCAGCGUAAACGUACGUACCUAAUAACAGGAUGAGAGAGACCCUAAGAAAAGAAAGCUGGAGGGAUUAUGCAAGUUUAGAGAUGCCGAUUUAAAAAAAGGAUCAAUUAUUAACUAAUGAUAAGUGGAGUAAUGGUUAUAUCCCAGUGUAUAUAUAUGUAUGUAUAAACAUACCCUUAAUUGA